rnacentral:rRNA from 1 species
UGUGGAUUAUUCGAUGCAACGCGAAGAACCUUACCUGGGCUUGACAUACACCAGAUAGGGCCAGAGAUGGUCUUUCCCUUUGUGGUUGGUGUACAGGUGGUGCAUGGUUGUCGUCAGCUCGUGUCGUGAGGUGUUGGGUUAAGUCCCGCAACGAGCGCAACCCUUGUCUUAUGUUGCCAGCACGUUAUGGUGGGGACUCGUGAGAGACUGCCGGGGUCAACUCGGAGG